rnacentral:tRNA from 1 species
GCGGGUGAGGCCCAAGGGUGGGGCGCCACACUUCCGGUGUGGAGGUUCAGGUUCGAGUCCUGGCGCCCGCUCCA